GUUGGUAACAAGGCUGAUAUGGAUGAAAACAAAAGGGCUGUUCCUACCUCAAAGGGCCAAGCUCUUGCUGAUGAAUAUGGAAUCAAGUUCUUUGAGACAAGUGCAAAGACAAAUUUAAACGUGGAAGAGGUUUUUUUUUCAAUAGCUAGGGAUAUUAAGCAAAGACUGGCAGAUACUGACUCAAGGCCUGAG